AUCACAUGACUGCAUCGGCCCGUCUGACUCCGAGCGAGACAGCACUCCGGAGCGACGUUCCCGAUGCUGCAUUCCCAUGGCCUUUGAUCCCUGUCUGGCACCGCUGCGCCGCUUUCCACUGUCACAUUCAUCUAGUGUGUAUGUAUAUUUGAGGUACCCCAGUCAUAAUGUGUGUUGUUCAGAGCACAGCUCGUCAGCUCCAGGUGUGUCUAGUGGUGAAAGCAGCCUCCCAGAGCAUCAUCAUGAGCAGCACCACAGGACUGACCACAAGGAGGAGUCGUCGUCGAGGACACACACACACACCUACGACGUGGAACUGGAGACAAAGAGGGCUACACUAGAGGAGCCCAACACACCCAACACUGAACAGACUGUGAAUCAGAAGGAGCCUGUGGUGGUCUGGCCUGCCCCAGAACCACACCUGGAUCCUGAACCCCCUGCUGCUGCUGCUGAGCCUCACUCACACAACACACACAUCCACACAGACCCAGAGCCCGAUACACAACCCACUCCCCUCCAGAACCAGGCUCCCUCAUCCCCCUCCAUCCCACCGCUCAGCGACAACCCAACCCAGGGAUCGGCCUCCACAGACCACACAGGCCCAGUCGAGACCCCCAGUGAUGCACCGGCAGAACCCAGCCCAGCCCCCUCUACAGAAGACCCCCAACACACACCUACCUCAACCUCUUACAUCCCUGCUCCAGCCCCAUCCAGUUAACUUUGCACUGGUUCCUUCGUCA
rnacentral:lncRNA from 13 species